rnacentral:rRNA from 1 species
GGAGGAAAAGAAACUAACAAGGAUUCCCCUAGUAGCGGCGAGCGAAGCGGGAAGAGCUCAAAUUUAUAAUCUGGCACCUUCGGUGUCCGAGUUGUAAUCUCUAGAAAUGUUUUCCGCGUUGGACCGCACACAAGUCUGUUGGAAUACAGCGGCAUAGUGGUGAGACCCCCGUAUAUGGUGCGGACGCCCAGCGCUUUGUGAUACAUUUUCGAAGAGUCGAGUUGUUUGGGAAUGCAGCUCAAAUUGGGUGGUAAAUUCCAUCUAAAGCUAAAUAUUGGCGAGAGACCGAUAGCGAACAAGUACCGUGAGGGAAAGAUGAAAAGCACUUUGGAAAGAGAGUUAACAGUACGUGAAAUUGUUGGAAGGGAAACGCUUGAAGUCAGACUUGCUUGCUGAGCAAUCGGUUUGCAGGCCAGCAUCAGUUUUCCGGGAUGGAUAAUGGUAGAGAGAAGGUAGCAGUUUCGGCUGUGUUAUAGCUCUCUGCUGGAUACAUCUUGGGGGACUGAGGAACGCAGUGUGCCUUUGGCGGGGGUUUCGACCUCUUCACACUUAGGAUGCUGGUGGAAUGGCUUUAAACGAC